rnacentral:tRNA from 1 species
GCCUGGCUAGCUCAGUCGGUAGAGCAUGAGACUCUCAAUCUCAGGGUCGGGGGAUCGAGCCCCCCGUUGGGCG